rnacentral:rRNA from 1 species
AAUCUUGCGCAAUGGCCUAACGGCUGACGCAGCGACGCCGCGUGAGGGAUGACGGCCUUCGGGUUGUAAACCUCUGUUGCCCGGGACGAACAGCCGUAUGCGUACGGUCUGACGGUACCGGGUGAGGAAGCACCGGCUAACUCCGUGCCAGCAGCCGCGGUAAUACGGAGGGUGCGAGCGUUGUCCGGAAUCACUGGGCGUAAAGGGCGCGUAGGCGGUCGGGUAAGCGUGUGGUGAAAGUCCGGGGCUCAACCCCGGAUCGGCCGUGCGAACUGCUCGACUUGAGCACUGUAGAGGCAGGUGGAAUUCCGGGUGUAGCGGUGGAAUGCGUAGAGAUCCGGAAGAACACCGGUGGCGAAGGCGGCCUGCUGGGCAGUGGCUGACGCUGAGGCGCGACAGCGUGGGGAGCAAAC